UAGGGAAUCUUCGGCAAUGGACGAAAGUCUGACCGAGCAACGCCGCGUGAGGGAAGAAGGUUUUCGGAUCGUAAAACUCUGUUGUUAGAGAAGAACAAGGACGUUAGUAACUGAACGUCCCCUGACGGUAUCUAACCAGAAAGCCACGGCUAACUACGUGCCAGCAGCCGCGGUAAUACGUAGGUGGCAAGCGUUGUCCGGAUUUAUUGGGCGUAAAGCGAGCGCAGGCGGUGUCUUAAGUCUGAUGUGAAAGCCCCCGGCUCAACCGGGGAGGGUCAUUGGAAACUGGGAGACUUGAGUGCAGAAGAGGAGAGUGGAAUUCCAUGUGUAGCGGUGAAAUGCGUAGAUAUAUGGAGGAACACCAGUGGCGAAGGCGGCUCGCUGGUCUGUAACUGACGCUGAGGCUCGAAAGCGUGGGGAGCAAACAGG
rnacentral:rRNA from 1 species